rnacentral:rRNA from 1 species
GACCGCGACCCCAGGUCAGGCGGGAUUACCCGCU